UACCAAUGGCUUUUAGGGCGAGAUCUCAUGUUAUGCGAGAAUUUAAAUAAAAUCACGCCUUCAUUUCGCUAUCAUAUGCUUCCACCGAUACAAGAUAUGGCAGAGUUACUAAAACUAAUAUUGAAGACUGACCUCGAGCUCGGCUUGUUCAAAGACAAGUUUCAUAACAUGACUAAUAUUAUUAUCUUAUAAAUUUUAUUUACAGGAACAAGAACUCGCUAGAAAGCUGAGCGAUUUGAGGGAGAAUUUUGCCCAAAACAACAAAGAAUCGCCUUCGACAACUAUGACAAAGAUCAGUGUCCUCUAUCGGCCACCCGCCAUCAGUGCCUACGGAUUAUUCGAAAUCAAUUUGAACUUUUUCUAUCAGAUGAUAGCAGCUAUUUUCACUCAAUGUGUAAUACUUUUCCAGUUUCAAAGUUUCGAACAACAGUAGCUUACCAUCAGUGGAUGGCCCUCUGAUGUACAAUUUUUACAUAGCAUCGAAUAUAAAUGUGCUUUCCAUAUGCAUUCGGAUAUUUAAGGAAACCUCAGAAGAAUCAUUCUACCUCGCAAAACAAAUCGUAUUAAUUCUACAAUAAAGCACAGAUUUUCAACG